CGCACAGCCGCAACCCACAUUUGGGAUUUCCCCUCGCUGAGUUAGGGUUUCAACCUCCCAGCGCGCUGCGAUGCUAGAUCCACAAGCCGCCGUCACGCUGGUCGCCGGCGGCGGCCCUAGCUACCACCACUCGAGCUAGGCGCCCUCUGGAUCCUCCUCUCCUCUUCCACGGGACCUCAACCACCAACGCGGCAGCACCAUCUCCAACUCUCUGCAUCGCCAUCGCGCCUCCUCUGCAUCUCCCAAUCAUCGACGACCGGACCUGCUCCCCGUCGCCUUACCUUGCUACAGCAGCACCGGAGCUGUGCCCCUCUUCCUGUACCAGCACCGGAGUUGCGCCACUCUUCCUCAAGAAGCACCGGGCCACACAUAUUUUCUCCAUGGCCGACGGCUGGUGAUGCUCGGCGCGGCCACUCUUCCUUCAGAGCUGCGGAGCGGCUCCAUCCUCUGCUUCCUACUACGACGAACGACAGCAGCUAUACACACCAUCCCUUCUACAGCAGCAAGACAACAUCCUGAUGGCUGCUUCCAGUGCUUCUGAGGUUGCAAGUUCCAGACUGAAGAGAAACUCGGAUGACAUGGCAUGGGAGUUUGCUAUGCUGAUUGAUCCAGAUGAUCUGCAAAGAGUGUGAAAGAAAUUGGAGCGUUUUUGAACAAGUUGAUGCAAAGAGGAGAAAUAAAUUAGAUGUGCGUCGUAGGGACGAUCUAGUUUAUAUUCAAUUCAAUGGAAGAUUUCUAGACAAAAGAAAGAAAUACUCCUCAUCUUGUGAUGUUCUCCUUGGUGAAGAUGCUUCCACAGCCCAAGAUUGGAUAUGUGAAGAUGCUUACGAUGAUGAAGAGAUGGGAACUACCAGAGUUGACAAUACAACAGAGCCUCGUAGAAGUCUAAGGGUGAGAGAGCUCCAUGAAGUGGAAGACUUUGUUUCCAUUAAUGAAGAUGACACUGUGCCUAUCAAUGAAGAUGAGAUUGAGUUUGAGUUUGAUAAUGACAUGGUUGGGGGGAUAGAACAAAUUAUGAUGAGGAAGACCUGAUGCAGCCUUGAACCCUAGGCCUUUUAACAAUCUCAUUCCUAGUACUGUGUGUUGCUUGCUAGAAGCCUACGGCCUUAUUUUGGUUGUGACUUGUGACUUAUGAGAGAAUCAAAAAGCUAGCUAAGAACUACCUUAUUUUGGUUGAUUGGUGUUUGGCUGUUUGCAAGCAAAGUAGUAACUAGUAAGAGACUAAGAGUGUAAGACUGUAAGACUAAGAAAUUGAAGUAGAAGUGUAGAACUAAGCUUAUUUGUGUUA